rnacentral:rRNA from 1 species
GACGAACGCUGGCGGCGUGCUUAACACAUGCAAGUCGAACGGAAAGGCCCUGCUUUUGUGGGGUGCUCGAGUGGCGAACGGGUGAGUAACACGUGAGUAACCUGCCCUUGACUUUGGGAUAACUUCAGGAAGCUGGGGCUAAUACCGGAUAGGAGCUCCUGCUGCAUGGUGGGGGUUGGAAAGUUUCGGCGGUUGGGGAUGGACUCGCGGCUUAUCAGCUUGUUGGUGGGGUAGUGGCUUACCAAGGCUUUGACGGGUAGCCGGCCUGAGAGGGUGACCGGCCACAUUGGGACUGAGAUACGGCCCAGACUCCUACGGGAGGCAGCAGUGGGGAAUAUUGCACAAUGGGCGGAAGCCUGAUGCAGCAACGCCGCGUGCGGGAUGACGGCCUUCGGGUUGUAAACCGCUUUCGCCUGUGACGAAGCGUGAGUGACGGUAAUGGGUAAAGAAGCACCGGCUAACUACGCG